GACCAACUAAGUUUGUUAUGGGUAUGAGCUUUCGUGUGCAUGCACACUUCUUCAGAUACACAGUGUGCAUGCACAUGAAAGCUCAUACCCAUAACAAAUUUAGUUGGUC
rnacentral:miRNA from 1 species